AUUGAACGCUGGCGGCAGGCUUAACACAUGCAAGUCGAACGAGUGGCGGACGGGUGAGUAAUGUCUGGGAAACUGCCUGAUGGAGGGGGAUAACUACUGGAAACGGUCGCUAAUACCGCAUACCCUCAGAUGUGCCCAGAUGGGAUUAGCUAGUAGGUGGGGUAAUGGCUCACCUAGGCGACGAUCCCUAGCUGGUCUGAGAGGAUGACCAGCCACACUGGAAUUGAGACACGGGCCAGACUCCGACGGGAGGCAGCAGUGGGGAAUAUUGCACAAUGGGCGCAAGCCUGAUGCAGCCAUGCCGCGUGGAUGAAGAAGGCCUUCGGGUUGUAAAGUACGUUCAGCGGGGAGGCGUUACCCGCAGAAGAAGCACCGGCUAACUCCGUGCCAGCAGCCGCGGUAAUUC
rnacentral:rRNA from 1 species